rnacentral:tRNA from 1 species
GAGGUUAUAGCUGAGUGGUUGAGUGUAUGCCUAACAUGCAUGAGGUCCUGGGUUAAAUCCCUAGUGCCUCCA